rnacentral:rRNA from 1 species
UAAGAGGUCCCGCCUGCCCUGUGACUCUAGUAGUUUAACGGCUGCGGUAUUUUGACCGUGCAAAGGUAGCGCAAUCACUUGUCUUUUAAAUAAAGACCUGUAUGAAUGGCAUGACGAGGGCUUAACUGUCUCCUUUCCCCAGUCAAUGAAAUUGAUCUCCCCGUGAGGAAGCGGGGAUACGACUAUAAGACGAGAAGACCCUGUGGAGCUUUAAACACUAGAUGAGCCCGUGUCAAGCACUCCAAAGUACUAAAAGUGAAACAAAAUGGACCCUUUUCUAAUGUUUUUGGUUGGGGCGACCGCGGGGUAAUAAAAAACCCCCACGUGGAAUGAGAGUACUUCUCCUACAACUAAGAGCAACCGCUCUAAUUAACGGAAUUUCCGACCAACAAUGAUCCGGCCAAGCCGAUCAACGGACCGAGUUACCCCAGGGAUAACAGCGCAAUCCCCUUUUAGAGACCUUAUCGCCAAGGGGGUUUACGACCUCGAUGUUGGAUCAGGACAUCCUAAUGGUGUAGCCGCUAUUAAGGGUUCGUUUGUUCAACG